GUGUCAGCAGCCGCGGUAAUACGGAGGGGGCUAGCGUUGUUCGGAAUUACUGGGCGUAAAGCGCACGUAGGCGGCUUUGUAAGUCAGGGGUGAAAGCCUGGAGCUCAACUCCAGAACUGCCUUUGAGACUGCAUCGCUUGAAUCCGGGAGAGGUGAGUGGAAUUCCGAGUGUAGAGGUGAAAUUCGUAGAUAUUCGGAAGAACACCAGUGGCGAAGGCGGCUCACUGGACCGGAAUUGACGCUGAGGUGCGAAAGCGUGGGGAGCAAACAGGAUUAGAUACCCCUGUAGUCC
rnacentral:rRNA from 1 species